AAUGGCUGCMGUAUUUUAACUGUACAAAGGUAGCAUAAUAAAUUGUUUUUUAAAUGAAAACUUGYAUGAAUGAAUAAAUGAAAUAUAAMCYUUAUUAAAAAUUUGUAUUGAAAUUUMUUUUUAAAUUWAAAAGYUUAAAUAAGUUAAUGGGACGAUAAGACCCUAURGAAUUUUAUAUAUAUUUUAAAAAUUAAGUUUAAAAUUAUUUUAAAUAUAUAUUUUUUUGGGAGGAAAUUAAAAUUUAAUYAACUUUUAAUAAUUUAAAACAAAAAUAAUUGUUYUUAUUUAUGAUUUUAKGUUUAUAAAUUAAAGAUUAAAUUMCCUUAGGGAUAACAGCGUAAUAUUUUUUAAUAGUUCAUAUUGAAAAAAAUGUUU
rnacentral:rRNA from 1 species